rnacentral:rRNA from 1 species
UCCGUAGGCGGUUUAGUAAGUCAGUGGUGAAAGCCCAUCGCUCAACGGUGGAACGGCCAUUGAUACUGCUAGACUUGAAUUAUUAGGAAGUAACUAGAAUAUGUAGUGUAGCGGUGAAAUGCUUAGAGAUUACAUGGAAUACCAAUUGCGAAGGCAGGUUACUACUAAUUGAUUGACGCUGAUGGACGAAAGCGUGGGUAGCGAACAGGAUUAGAUACCCUGGUAGUCCACGCCGUAAACGAUGGAUACUAGCUGUUGGGGGCGAACUUCAGUGGCUAAGCGAAAGUGAUAAGUAUCCCACCUGGGGAGUACGAACGCAAGUUUGAA